rnacentral:rRNA from 1 species
AUUGAACGCUGGCGGCAGGCCUAACACAUGCAAGUCGAACGAGUGGCGGACGGGUGAGUAAUGUCUGGGAAACUGCCCGAUGGAGGGGGAUAAUUACUGGAACCGGUAGCUAAUACCGCAUACCAUCGCAUUUGCCUAGAUGGGAUUAGCUAGUUGGUGGGGUAACGGCUCACCAAGGCGACGUUCCCUAGCUGUUCUGAGAGGAUGACCAUCCACACUGGAACUGAGACACGGUCCGGACUCCUACGGGAGGCAGCAGUGGGGAAUAUUGCACAUUGGGCGCAAGCCUGAUGCAGCCAUGCCGCGUGUAUGAAGAAGGCCUUCGGGGUGUAAAGUACUUUCAGCGAGGAGGCGUUACCCGCAGAAGAAGCACCGGCUAACUCCGUGCCAGCAGCCGCGGUAAUUC